GGGUGAAGAAAUUCUUCCUUUCCUGGAUCCUUUGAUGGGAAAAUUACUUGGUGCUCUCCAAAGUAGCCCUCGUAAUUUGCAGGAAACUUGCAUGUCUGCUAUUGGUUCAGUUGCAUCUGCUGCUGAACAAGCAUUUGUGCCCUAUGCUGAAAGAGUUCUAGAGUUGAUGAAAGUUUUCAUGGUGCUUACAAAUGAUGAAGACCUCCUUUCACGGGCUAGGGCUACUGAAUUGGUUGGGAUAGUUGCAAUGUCUGUUGGCAGGACAAGGAUGGAACCAGUUUUGCCGCCUUUCAUUGAAGCUGCAAUUUCAGGUUUUGGUUUGGAGUUUAGCGAGCUUCGGGAAUACACUCAUGGUUUCUUUAGCAAUAUUGCGGAAAUUUUAGAUGAAGGAUUUGCUCAGUACCUUCCACAUGUCGUUCCUCUGGCAUUCAACUCCUGCAACCUAGAUGAUGGUUCUGCUGUUGAUAUUGAUGAUUCCGAUGAAGAUGAAAAUGUUCAUGGAUUUGGC
rnacentral:misc_RNA from 1 species